UUCAAUGAUUGAUUGAAGGUCGUGUUACCAUCUAUUAAGGAUCAAGGAGGAGAAUAUUUCGAUCACUUUUGGAUAAUUGUGUAAAUGUAUUGUAUUGAUGAAAUUAUUUGAGAGGACUAAAUUUAGAGGAAACAAAGAAAUCAUAAUCCUCAUCUUCUCAUCGAUUGAACUAUGAUCAAUUUAGAGGACUAAAUUUUCUUUUAAGGGGGGGAGAGUGUAAUAUCCCUCACUUUUGAAAAUUUAUUAAUAAAGAUUUAUAUAUAAAUUGGAGGACUUAUAUGUAAAUAUAGAAAUUUUAAGGACUAAAUUGUAAGUUGCAAAAAGAAAAAAAAUAAAGAAAACCAAAAAUUUCGAUUUUAUCCCACCGACUCCCACGCUCUCUGUUUCUUUCGAGAAACAGAGAGAAGAGCGGUGGGGUGUGGGGAGACGAAGAGAAGAGUAGUUGAGGGAGAAGAGAAGAAAAGAAGAAGAAGAGGGAAAAGAAGAGAGGAGGAAGAAGAGAGGAAGAAGAGGGAGAAGAGAAGAAAAGAAGAAGAAGAAGAGAGGGAAGAGGGAGAGGAAAGAGAGAUAGCUGCAGCAGCUAGGGCUGCAGCACUUCUAUUUCGUGUAGGAGGAAAUAGAGGAGUUCAUGUGUGGGGCGUCGGGGAGGAGAAGGGAAGAAGAGGAGAAGAAGAGAAGCAGAGGAAGAGAAGAAGAAGAAGAAGAAGAAGAAGAAGAAGAAUAGAGAAGGUGGCUACGGUAAGAGCUGCAGCGAGGAUCUGUGGGGCGUUGGGGAGGAGAAAGGAAGAAGAAGAGAAGAAGAAAAGAAGAAGAAGAGGGAAAAGAAGAGAGGAGGAAGAAGAGGGAGAAGAGAAGAAAAGAAGAAGAAAAAAAGAGAGGGAAGUGGGAGAGGAGCGAGAGGUGGCAGCAGCUAGGGCUGCAGCACCUCUGUUUCCUGCAGGCGGAAACAGAGGAGACGAGGUGUGAGGUGUUGGGGAUAAGAAGAAGAAGAAGAGGAUGGCUGCGGCAUGGGCUACAGUGAGAAGGUGUGGGGCGUCGGGUAGGAGAAGGGAAGAAGAGGAGAAGAAGAAGGAGAAGGAGAAGAAGAAGAAGAGGAAGAGAAGAAGUAGAAGCGAGUGAAGAGGCGACACCUCUGUUUCCUGCAGGAGGAAACAGAGGAAAGGAGGUGCUGUUCGUCGGGGAGAAGAAGGGGAGGAAGGAGAAGAAGAGAAGAAGAAGAAAGGAAGGAGAAGGAAGAUGAGAAGGGAAAGAAGUCGCUGCGGCUGCGGCUGUGGCAGCUGCAGCUGUGGCAGGGAAAGAGGAAGAGGAAGGAAGAAGGGAAGAAGAGAGGAAGAGAAGAAGUAGAAGCGGGUGAAGAGGUGGCACCUCUGUUUCCUGCAAGAGGAAACAGAGGAAAGGAGGUGCUGUUUGUCGGGGAGAAGAAGGGGAGGAAGGAGAAGAAGAGAAGAAGAAGAAAGGAAGGAGAAAGAAGAGGAGAAGGGAAAGAAGUAGCUGCGGCUGGGGCAGCUACAGCUGUGGCAGGGAAAUAGGUAGAGGUAGAAAGAAGGGAAGGAGAGGAAGAAGCAAAGGGGAAGAAGGGGCUGCGGCUGCGGCGAUAGCAGCUGCAGUUGGAAGAGAAGAAGGAGAGGAAGAUGAGCAGGGGAGGAAGAAGAGGUUGCAGCCGUGGCUGAGGCUGCGACUGCAGCAGUGCAGCUGGGAAAGAAGAGAAGGAAAGGAAGAAGAAGAGAAAGGAAAAGGGAAGAAGAGAGGAAGAGGAGAAGGGGAGGCAGCUACGGCAGUGGCAGCUGCAACUAGAAGAGAAGGAGAGGAAACAAAGUAGGGGAGGAAGAAGAGGCUGCGGGUGUGGUGGCUGCGGCCGUGGCAGCGACUGCGGCUGCGGCUGCGACGUUGGCUGUGGUAGCUGCGGCAGCGAUGGUGGCUGUAGUAGCUACUUUUGGGAAAGAGAAAGAAAGAAAAAGGGGAAAAAAAAAGGGGGGUCGUGGCCGUGAUUGCGGCUGCGGUGGUGGCGGCUGCGUCAGCGACAGUUGUGUUUGGGGAAAGAAAGUGUAGGAACGAGAGAAGGGAGGAAGGAAAUAGUGCGGUGGAAGGGGCUGCGACUGUGGCAGCGACAACGGCGGUGGCUGUGGUAGCUGCGUUUGGGAAAAAAAAGAAGGAAUGAGAUUAAGAGAGAGCAGGUGACAGUGCCUCGAUAUUCAACACGUGGUGUAGUUGCGAAGAAAGAAAGAAAACGAGAGCACAAAACGAAACAGAGAGAGGAUACGAAGGAAAAGUAGAAGGAUUUGGGCUGGCACCUUCUUUGGAUCUUCGGAUCGAAAUCUUUGAAAGGCAAGUUUCCCGAUCGUUUCUCCUGUUAUUGUUCUAAUCUUUCCUAUUGCAAGUGUCCUGAUCUUUCCUGAUUACAAUUUUAUCUCUACAUUUGCUUUGAAUAUGAGGAACAUUGAAUUGUUCUAGCCUUGCAUUUGAUAUAUCUCUUGUUUAGACGUAACGAUUCGAAUCUGUGCAACUUCUGAGAUUCUGACCUUUCUACCUUGUUAUGGUUAUAACUUCAUGUAUUGACAUCUGAUUUGGACAAAACUUAUUUGAUCAGAAUAUAGACUUAUAAACCUUUCUUUUGAUAGCUUUCUUGAGUAUAUUGGAGCACAAUUGAUGGUUUGAAUUAUUCGUUCAAUGUGCCUCUUGAAUUCUACUAGAAAUCGAGAUUUGGUCGAUUUCACAUAUUCUAGUUUCAUUCCUUUGGAAAUUAAUUUGCAUCGUAUUGACUCAUAAAGGCACAUGUACAUUUCGUUGUUCCGCAUGUACUUCCAAUAUGUCCCAAUUUAUUGUUACAAUACCCUUUUGUACUCUGGUGUUUGUGGGAUUAUUUGGACCUUUGCCAGAAAUGGUAAAGGAUAUGUGCUUAGAGCCUGCGAUGCUCUAGAUUAUGUUUGGUGGUCAUUCAGAAAUGGAUGGACCAUAUUAUGUUUGGAAUCCCACUUCACCUUCUAUCUGUUUGAUAUGAAAUUCAGAGCCGACCUAGCACUUGGGUAUGGUGAGAGGGCUCGAGUAGGAAAGGGCUACCCGUGGAUGGAGUCGAAAACUCAUCAUGGCGUGGAGCCACCACUGAGUUAAACCUCACAUGCAUUAUGCUAGGGUCAGAUUGUCACUCUUUGAGAUGUUUGAAUUGGGCUGAGGUAGUGGACAGUUAUUCUGAAUUAUGGGCAAGUCUUGUUGGUUAUUAUGUUAUUAUUGUAUAAGUAUAUUUUGUAUGAAAUGAAAUGUUGUCGAUGAAUCGAAAUGGAUAUACUGUGUAAAAGUGUUAGAAGAUGUCUCUUAUUUGAAAUUUCAGAAUGUUAAGUCUAAUUUAUGAUGAUAUGAACUUGUGGUGAAUAGUUGGAGUUCUGAUUGUAUAAUUUAUUUAGCUUAUGGAUUUAUAAAUGUUGUUCAUGUUUGUCAA